rnacentral:snoRNA from 1 species
CUGUAUUUGGGUUUCCACUACAGAUGCAAGAAAAAAGUGUUUUCGUGCUUUCUGUCUGCCUGUGGCAGUCAAAAUUGAAUAGAGGAAUACAAUU